rnacentral:rRNA from 1 species
UUCCUACGGGGCGCAGCAGUGAGGAAUAUUGGUCAACGGGAGAGAUCCUGAACCAGCCAAGCCGCGUGAGGGAAGACGGCCCUAUGGGUUGUAAACCUCUUUUGUCGGAGAACAAAACCCGGGACGUGUCCCGGACUGCGUGUAUCCGAAGAAAAAGCAUCGGCUAACUCCGUGCCAGCAGCCGCGGUAAUACGGAGGAUGCGAGCGUUAUCCGGAUUUAUUGGGUUUAAAGGGUGCGCAGGCGGGAGAUCAAGUCAGCGGUAAAAUGUCGGGGCUCAACCCCGGCCGGCCGUUGUAACUGGUUU